rnacentral:rRNA from 1 species
CAGCGCCACAAGUGGCAAUCGGUUUUAUUGGGCCUAAAGCGUCCGUAGCCGGUCAUGUAAAUCUUUUAUGAAAUUGUUGGGCUCAACCUAACGAAUGGCAGGAGACACUGCAUGACUUGAGAUCGGGAGGAGUCAGAGGUAUUCAGGGGGGAGCGGUAAAAUGCAUUAAUCCCUUGAGGACCACCUAUGGCGAAGGCAUCUGACCAGAACGAAUCUGACGGUGAGGGACGAAAGCUAGGGGAGCGAACCGGAUUAGAUACCCGAGUAGUCC